GAGGAAUAUUGGGCAAUGCCCGCAAGGGUGACCCAGCAACGCCGCGUGGAGGAUGAAAGCCGUAAGGUUGUAAACUCCUGUGAGAGGGGACGAAUGAUUACGUUUCGUAAGGAACGUGAAGUGACUGUACCCUCAGAGGAAGCCCCGGCUAACUACGUGCCAGCAGCCGCGGUAAUACGUAGGGGGCAAGCGUUGUCCGGAUUUACUAGGUGUAAAGGGCGCGUAGGCGGGUUGAUAAGUUAGAGGUGAAAUCCUGCGGCUUAACCGCAGAACUGCCCCUAAUACUGUCAAUCUUGAGUUCAGAAGAGAGAAGCGGAAUUCCAGGUGUAGUGGUGAAAUACGUAGAUAUCUGGAAGAACACCAGUUGCGAAGGCGGCUUCUUGGUCUGACACUGACGCUGAGGCGCGAAAGCGUGGGGAGCAAACAG
rnacentral:rRNA from 1 species